AAGGACCAGAUAACAAAAGGAGACCAAUCCAUUAUUAUUUCAUCAAAUUUUUAAAACAGUAAUACAGUACAUUCAUUGAGAUAUAUAUAUGGAAAGUGUGAACCAUCUCUUCCUGUUUAAAGGGAAAUCACAAACCAAAAGCCCAGCCAUCUCCCCAAAUGUGUCCUCCCCACUGAAAUCACAGGCAACGCCAUGGAAAGGCCUUUCCAAAGCCUGCCAGCCUCCUCUUGUAUUCUGCAGAAACUAGUUGCUCCCGGUGUACAUGCCUGGAACUGAGUGGCAGCCAUGACACAGACACAAGAGAAGGUGCUUGGUUUGUAAGUCCCCUUUAAGCAGCUGUCCUCCUGCCUAUGUCCUGAAUGUAUGGCGUAUGGAGCAUUCGGUGUGCCAAGGUGGAUGAGAACAGACUGCUAGUCCUUGCUACCGUGCAGUUACUUUGUUCCUGGUUUCCAAUGGCUACCUCCCACCUUUGACUUCCCACUGCAGCUUGGUUUGUUUACACUUGGGCACGCUGGGUAGUUAGUACCAUCCCUCUGCCAGGCUGUUAAAGGCUGAUUCUGAUAUCAAUUUCCAGUGAGCUACCCUGAAAUGUUUCCUUAGAAGUACCCUUAUUCCACGCUCCACUUCACAGGGCUCAGGAUUAUCCGGCUACCUUCUCUCCCUCUAAAUUCCAGGUGUGAUCUGCUGCCAGCCCCUCGCGAACAGCAACAGUAUUGACAGUUUGUCCUGACGUUCUUGCAUUUGGUAUGGGAAACUGAUGGACUAUGAAAAAUAUCCUGUGGGGAAGGGCAGUAAGAAUGAAAUCUAUGCCAAGGACAUGCAACUUAAGAGUACUUUCAAAAAAAAAAAAAAAGUAAGAUCUUUAAAUAAAUGAAAAAUAAACUAUGCUUAAGACAGCGUUAUGAGGACCACCCUCUUUCUAUGGUGAAUUUUGAACAAGGCAGAACAACAGCUAGAUGAUCUAUUUCCCUGAAGCAAGAGAGGAGUUAGCUUUCCCCCAGGCAAACUGAUCGAAAUGAUCAUUAUUUAUUAAUGAAAGGAAGAGGCAAAUUGGUGAAGUAAGUUGAUCGAGGACAUGGUGGGUGACACACACCAAUGGCAGUACUAGGACUGCUUUAAAACUGAGAUAAACAAGCUGGACUGUGACACAUCACUGUUUCAGAGAGAGGGGAUACAAAGUACCCCGAGUGAAUCUCAUCUCUCCUACACAGGUGGUGAGUUUAAAAUGACAGUCUCCCUUACAGUUAUACAAACACAACAAUCACAGGAAUAGGAAGCUAAAUAAAUAGUGUGUGGCUGUCUUUAGAUGAGACCUUUAAUGUUCUUUAAAUAAUUUUUGAUAAUGUCUUUUAAAUCAUUACAUACAAGUGCCAUUGCAGUGGCAAUAUUCCAGUAGGGCAGCAUUUUGCUAAAUGUAAAAGAUUGCCAUUUAGAACUCAUACAUAUACACGUGUAUGUACAGUUAUAUCAACACUAUUUAUAUACAUAUAUAUCUAGAGAGCAACAUUUCAUUGCCUUUGAAUAUCUCUAUGUCCACUCCCACAAUAUAUCCUGGAGACAUACUGUGUGAGUAUAUACCAAAGUGUAUGUACACAUGCGCCAACAUGUAUAUAUACACUUCUGUGUGUGCAUAAGAGCUUUAAAGGCACGAUAUAGAAGGGUGCAAGUUUUCUAGAGAGCUGCAGCAGAGUUAAAACUGAAUGUCACAACUGUGAGAGAAGUCAAAAGGAAAUCUAGCAGAAUUAUUACACAAGAACUCAUUAGAGCAUUUCAUCAUGAGAAACAAGAGUCAGUUAUAGAAUUCAAGAGGCUUCCAUGUGACUCUGUGUACUUUGUUAAAAUUCAAGUGGUAAAUGGUUAUAUUUAAAACACAAAGCAAAUCAAACUCUUUAAAUGAUAAGUGUGGAAAUACACCUAACACUAAUAUCAAUCAUAAAGUCAUAAUUACAUUUUUCAAUGUAAAUAAAAUACUCCAAAGUUACCUAGGUUAAGAAAUUGAGAAUUAAGUUUUUGAACAUUGGCUUUUUAUUUUUGAUGACUACCCAAUUCUCAGAGAAAACAUAAUUGAAAGCUGUAUACCGUGGGGAAGUGUCGUUGGUAAGGCCUGAGUGACAGCUGACACAUUCAUGCCCAGGUGUCUAGUGAGAGAGCUAAAUCAUCCCAAGGACGUGGCUUCUCACAUGCCCAGCACAGGGCCACCUCAGGAGCCAAUCUCCAGCACUUGGACAACAGACAACUUGGCAAAGAUGUGUGAUUGUUAAGUAAUGAGAGAAUAGCUAGCAGAAAUCUGAGAAAGAAGAGUUCAAAGAUUGGUUUGUGAGCACUAAUCUGUAAUCGUGACUGUAAUCCAAAGGGUUCCCACGUCAGCAUGCUUGGUGAUGUGCUCUACACUGUGGCCAUUUCCACUGGCUGGCAGAAUAACCCAGAAUUCCCACAGAUGCAUAAUCUUGCUUAGCAAGGGCUGUUAAUCUAUUACACACACACAUUUUAGGGAAAUAUAUGUAUAUAGCUUUAUCUAUACACACACAUAUACAUACGUGUAUAUAUAGAUUUAUACAAAUGUAUAAAUAAACAUAAUACUUUUUCAAUCUUUCCAUUGACAAGGCAAGUUCACAUUCAGCAAAGUGCCACCACAUCCCAUAUACACAUCUCUGUACAGAUAUACACAAAGGGUCUGUUUUCACCCUUCAAUAAGGGGGAAUUGAUUCUAGCAAAUUCCAUUAACCAGCAACUGAAGGGAGAAAUGGCAUCAGUACAAACUCCCUUCUUUCGCUUGCAUGCAUAUGUACAAGAAAUAUGCAGGUUUCUUAAAAUCUGAAAGCAAGAGUGAAUGAAACAGGGAGAUGCUACAAAAACACAAGUGUGAAAAACAACAUGGAGAGCUUGCCUGGGUUUUGUCUGGAUCUAAGAUGAAGUAACUGAGGCCCCAAAGACAACUACCAAUUCAAGUGUGUUCCUGGGAGUUGCCCUGGCAUUUCUAAGUACAGCGCCUUCAUAUUAAAGUAAGUGUGAUGGAGCACUUGGCCC
ensembl:lncRNA